rnacentral:rRNA from 1 species
GAUGAACGCUGGCGGCGUGCCUAAUACAUGCAAGUCGAGCGAACAGAUGAGGAGCUUGCUUCUCUGACGUUAGCGGCGGACGGGUGAGUAACACGUGGAUAACCUACCUAUAAGACUGGGAUAACUUCGGGAAACCGGAGCUAAUACCGGAUAAUAUAUUGAACCGCAUGGUUCAAUAGUGAAAGACGGUUUUGCUGUCACUUAUAGAUGGAUCCGCGCUGCAUUAGCUAGUUGGUAAGGUAACGGCUUACCAAGGCAACGAUGCGUAGCCGACCUGAGAGGGUGAUCGGCCACACUGGAACUGAGACACGGUCCAGACUCCUACGGGAGGUAGCAGUAGGGAAUCUUCCGCAAUGGGCGAAAGCCUGACGGAGCAACGCCGCGUGAGUGAUGAAGGUCUUCGGAUCGUAAAACUCUGUUAUUAGGGAAGAACAAAUGUGUAAGUAACUGUGCACGUCUUGACGGUACCUAAUCAGAAAGCCACGGCUAACUACGUG